rnacentral:rRNA from 1 species
UGGGGAAUAUUGGACAAUGGGCGAAAGCCUGAUCCAGCCAUGCCGCGUGUGUGAAGAAGGUCUUCGGAUUGUAAAGCACUUUAAGUUGGGAGGAAGGGCAGUAAGUUAAUACCUUGCUGUUUUGACGUUACCAACAGAAUAAGCACCGGCUAACUUCGUGCCAG